rnacentral:rRNA from 1 species
CCUACGGGAGGCAGCAGUAGGGAAUCUUCCGCAAUGGGCGAAAGCCUGACGGAGCAACGCCGCGUGAGUGAUGAAGGUCUUCGGAUCGUAAAACUCUGUUAUCAGGGAAGAACAAAUGUGUAAGUAACUGUGCACAUCUUGACGGUACCUGAUCAGAAAGCCACGGCUAACUACGUGCCAGCAGCCGCGGUAAUACGUAGGUGGCAAGCGUUAUCCGGAAUUAUUGGGCGUAAAGCGCGCGUAGGCGGUUUUUUAAGUCUGAUGUGAAAGCCCACGGCUCAACCGUGGAGGGUCAUUGGAAACUGGAAAACUUGAGUGCAGAAGAGGAAAGUGGAAUUCCAUGUGUAGCGGUGAAAUGCGCAGAGAUAUGGAGGAACACCAGUGGCGAAGGCGACUUUCUGGUCUGUAACUGACGCUGAUGUGCGAACGACGGUGGGGUAGUACAAACAAGGAGUUAGUAUACCCUACGGUAGGUACCGACCGACCGUAAACCGUAACGUAGUAGUGUCUAAGUUAGGUUAGGGGUUUUACCGGGUUCCCGUACCGUUACGUCGUCGUCGCGACGACGACCGACGUAAGUACGACCGCCGUCCGGUCCGGGUAGGGUUACGGUUACCGUACCGACGGUUAAGGUUAACGUUAACGAACGGAAAGGUAGUUACGGACGCGAGAGACGCGACGACGACGACGAGGAGGAGGAGG